GGUAAUAAUCCUGUAGUCGAAAAUGUUGUCUCUCUUGAGUGGAUCCUGAGUACGACGGAGCACGUGAAAUUCCGUCGGAAUCUGGGAGGACCAUCUCCUAAGGCUAAAUACUCUCUAGUGACCGAUAGUGAACCAGUACCGUGAGGGAAAGGUGAAAAGCACCCCGGAAGGGGAGUGAAAUAGAACCUGAAACCGUGUGCUUACAAGUAGUCAGAGCCCGUUAAUGGGUGAUGGCGUGCCUUUUGUAGAAUGAACCGGCGAGUUACGAUUUGAUGCAAGGUUAAGCAGUAAAUGUGGAGCCGUAGCGAAAGCGAGUCUGAAUAGGGCGUUUAGUAUUUGGUCGUAGACCCGAAACCAGGUGAUCUACCCUUGGUCAGGUUGAAGUUCAGGUAACACUGAAUGGAGGACCGAACCGACUUACGUUGAAAAGUGAGCGGAUGAACUGAGGGUAGCGGAGAAAUUCCAAUCGAACCUGGAGAUAGCUGGUUCUCUCCGAAAUAGCUUUAGGGCUAGCCUCAAGUGAUGAUUAUUGGAGGUAGAGCACUGUUUGGACGAGGGGCCCCUCUCGGGUUACCGAAUUCAGACAAACUCCGAAUGCCAAUUAAUUUAACUUGGGAGUCAGAACAUGGGUGAUAAGGUCCGUGUUCGAAAGGGAAACAGCCCAGACCACCAGCUAAGGUCCCAAAAUAUAUGUUAAGUGGAAAAGGAUGUGGCGUUGCCCAGACAACUAGGAUGUUGGCUUAGAAGCAGCCAUCAUUUAAAGAGUGCGUAAUAGCUCACUAGUCGAGUGACACUGCGCCGAAAAUGUACCGGGGCUAAACAUAUUACCGAAGCUGUGGAUUGUCCUUUGGACAAUGGUAGGAGAGCGUUCUAAGGGCGUUGAAGCAUGAUCGCAAGGACAUGUGGAGCGCUUAGAAGUGAGAAUGCCGGUGUGAGUAGCGAAAGACGGGUGAGAAUCCCGUCCACCGAUUGACUAAGGUUUCCAGAGGAAGGCUCGUCCGCUCUGGGUUAGUCGGGUCCUAAGCUGAGGCCGACAGGCGUAGGCGAUGGAUAACAGGUUGAUAUUCCUGUACCACCUAUAAUCGUUUUAAUCGAUGGGGGGACGCAGUAGGAUAGGCGAAGCGUGCGAUUGGAUUGCACGUCUAAGCAGUAAGGCUGAGUAUUAGGCAAAUCCGGUACUCGUUAAGGCUGAGCUGUGAUGGGGAGAAGACAUUGUGUCUUCGAGUCGUUGAUUUCACACUGCCGAGAAAAGCCUCUAGAUAGAAAAUAGGUGCCCGUACCGCAAACCGACACAGGUAGUCAAGAUGAGAAUUCUAAGGUGAGCGAGCGAACUCUCGUUAAGGAACUCGGCAAAAUGACCCCGUAACUUCGGGAGAAGGGGUGCUCUUUAGGGUUAACGCCCAGAAGAGCCGCAGUGAAUAGGCCCAAGCGACUGUUUAUCAAAAACACAGGUCUCUGCUAAACCGUAAGGUGAUGUAUAGGGGCUGACGCCUGCCCGGUGCUGGAAGGUUAAGAGGAGUGGUUAGCUUCUGCGAAGCUACGAAUCGAAGCCCCAGUAAACGGCGGCCGUAACUAUAACGGUCCUAAGGUAGCGAAAUUCCUUGUCGGGUAAGUUCCGACCCGCACGAAAGGCGUAACGAUUUGGGCACUGUCUCAACGAGAGACUCGGUGAAAUCAUAGUACCUGUGAAGAUGCAGGUUACCCGCGACAGGACGGAAAGACCCCGUGGAGCUUUACUGUAGCCUGAUAUUGAAAUUCGGCACAGCUUGUACAGGAUAGGUAGGAGCCUUUGAAACGUGAGCGCUAGCUUACGUGGAGGCGCUGGUGGGAUACUACCCUAGCUGUGUUGGCUUUCUAACCCGCACCACUUAUCGUGGUGGGAGACAGUGUCAGGCGGGCAGUUUGACUGGGGCGGUCGCCUCCUAAAAGGUAACGGAGGCGCUCAAAGGUUCCCUCAGAAUGGUUGGAAAUCAUUCAUAGAGUGUAAAGGCAUAAGGGAGCUUGACUGCGAGACCUACAAGUCGAGCAGGGUCGAAAGACGGACUUAGUGAUCCGGUGGUUCCGCAUGGAAGGGCCAUCGCUCAACGGAUAAAAGCUACCCCGGGGAUAACAGGCUUAUCUCCCCCAAGAGUUCACAUCGACGGGGAGGUUUGGCACCUCGAUGUCGGCUCAUCGCAUCCUGGGGCUGUAGUCGGUCCCAAGGGUUGGGCUGUUCGCCCAUUAAAGCGGUACGCGAGCUGGGUUCAGAACGUCGUGAGACAGUUCGGUCCCUAUCCGUCGUGGGCGUAGGAAAUUUGAGAGGAGCUGUCCUUAGUACGAGAGGACCGGGAUGGACAUACCUCUGGUGUACCAGUUGUCGUGCCAACGGCAUAGCUGGGUAGCUAUGUGUGGACGGGAUAAGUGCUGAAAGCAUCUAAGCAUGAAGCCCCCCUCAAGAUGAGAUUUCCCAACUUCGGUUAUAAGAUCCCUCAAAGAUGAUGAGGUUAAUAGGUUCGAGGUGGAAGCAUGGUGACAUGUGGAGCUGACGAAUACUAAUCGAUCGAAGACUUAAUCAA
rnacentral:rRNA from 1 species